rnacentral:rRNA from 1 species
AUUGAACGCUGGCGGCAGGCCUAACACAUGCAAGUCGAGCGGAUGAAGGGAGCUUGCUCCUGGAUUCAGCGGCGGGCGGGUGAGUAAUGCCUAGGAAUCUGCCUGGUAGUGGGGGAUAACGUCCGGAAACGGGCGCUAAUACCGCAUACGUCCUGAGGGAGAAAGUGGGGGAUCUUCGGACCGCACGCUAUCAGAUGAGCCUAGGUCGGAUUAGCUAGUUGGUGGGGUAAAGGCCUACCAAGGCGACGAUCCGUAACUGGUCUGAGAGGAUGAUCAGUCACACUGGAACUGAGACACGGUACAGACUCCUACGGGAGGCAGCAGUGGGGAAUAUUGGACAAUGGGCGAAAGCCUGAUCCAGCCAUGCCGCGUGUGUGAAGAAGGUCUUCGGAUUGUAAAGCACUUUAAGUUGGGAGGAAGGGCAGUAAGUUAAUACCUUGCUGUUUUGACGUUACCAACAGAAUAAGCACCGGCUAACUUCGUG